CUACGGGGGGCAGCAGUGAAGAAUAUUGGGCAAUGGAGGCAACUCUGACCCAGCCAUGCCGCGUGCAGGAAGACGGCCCUCUGGGUUGUAAACUGCUUUUGUUUGGGAAUAAACCCUUCUACGUGUAGAAGGCUGAAGGUACCUUACGAAUAAGGAUCGGCUAACUCCGUGCCAGCAGCCGCGGUAAUACGGAGGAUCCAAGCGUUAUCCGGAUUUAUUGGGUUUAAAGGGUCCGUAGGCGGAUCUUUAAGUCAGUGGUGAAAGCCCACAGCUCAACUGUGGAACUGCCAUUGAUACUGGAGAUCUUGAGUGUAGUAGAAGUAGGCGGAAUAGGGCAUGUAGCGGUGAAAUGCAUAGAUAUGCCCUAGAACACCGAUUGCGAAGGCAGCUUACUAUGUUACAACUGACGCUGAGGGACGAAAGCGUGGGGAGCAAACAGGAUUAGAUACCCGCGUAGUC
rnacentral:rRNA from 1 species